rnacentral:rRNA from 1 species
CAGCCCUAAACGAUGCGCGUUAGGUGUAUCGGUGACCACGAGUCACCGAGGUGCCGAAGGGAAACCGUGAAACGUGCCGCCUGGGAAGUACGGUCGCAAGGCUGAGACUUAAAGGAAUUGGCGGGGGGAGCACCACAACGGGUGGAGCCUGCGGUUUAAUUGGACUCAACGCCGGGAAGCUCACCGGAUAAGACAGCGGAAUGACUGCCGGGCUGAAGACCCUGCAUGACCAGCUGAGAGGAGGUGCAUGGCGUGUGACUGU